CAGCAGGUCGGCCCGCGGGUGGCCGCGCGCUUCGGGCGGGCGCUGCUGGAGCUCGGCGGCAACAACGCGGCGAUCGUGACGCCGUCGGCCGA
rnacentral:tRNA from 1 species